rnacentral:rRNA from 1 species
GACGAACGCUGGCGGCGUGCUUAACACAUGCAAGUCGAACGGAAAGGCCCUGCUUGCAGGGUACUCGAGUGGCGAACGGGUGAGUAACACGUGGGUGAUCUGCCCUGCACUUCGGGAUAAGCCUGGGAAACUGGGUCUAAUACCGGAUAGGAGCCAUUUUUAGUGUGAUGGUUGGAAAGUUUUUUUGGUGUAGGAUGAGCUCGCGGCCUAUCAGCUUGUUGGUGGGGUAAUGGCCUACCAAGGCGGCGACGGGUAGCCGGCCUGCGAGGGUGGACGGCCACAUUGGGACUGAGAUACGGCCCAGACUCCUACGGGAGGCAGCGGUGGGGAAUAUUGCACAAUGGGCGGAAGCCUGAUGCAGCGACGCCGCGUGGGGGAUGAGGGCCGUCGGGUUGUAAACGCCUGUCGCUAGGGACGAAGCGUUUGUGACGGUACCUGGAUAAGAAGCACCGGCUAACUACGUG